GCGUUCCUUCUCUCUACGUUUCGUUCCUUAUCUUUGUUUUAGUCUUGCCUCUGCGUUCUUGGGUGAUCUUCUUAAUUAUAGUGUUAUGUUUGGCCUAGGUAUAAAAGGUCUUGGGGUGAUUGACGCGAGCAUUCCCUCUCUGUUUCUCUCUUCAUUGUAAGUUGUCGUCUGCGCAUCUGGAGAUUCUUGGGUGUGUGGCUGAUUUGGGUGAAGAGAAGGAGGGUGAUUUUGGAGGAAACGAGAGAGGAGUUUCUACAUGACUGAAGGGAAGGAGAGGGAUGAUGAGGUAUUGGGGUGAUUAGUGUGAUCUUCUCUGUUUCUUUAUGUGUUCAUUCUUGGGUGGUCUUUUCGGAUCUACAGAUUCUUCCGUGUGUGAUUGAUUUGGGGUAGGAGAGGCAGAGUGUUUGUGGAGGAAAUGGAAGAAGAAUUGACAGCAAAAGAUUAACGGCAACAGAGCCUUCUAUUAUAGCCAAUGGGCGCUGCUUCAAGCUUAUAUACUCAAAGGGUCUAUUAGCAGAAUAUCAGAAGAGAUCAGAGACCAGAGCUUCUCCCUCUUGCACACCUGUCCUGUCUUUCAAGAUCAACCAAGAAGCUCAGAUUCUAUUACCAAAUUUAACCUUCAUUGAAGAGGAGCAGAUAUCCAUCUUUUGCUGUUUCACAGUAUCAGACCAUUGGUGGGAAAAGGGAAGAGGAGAGAUCAAAGAUUUUGGUCCAUUUUGAUUGACUUUUGGAGGAAGAUUUGGGUUUGUUUUGGGAGAGGUUGCUUGGUUUUCAUCAGAGGAACAGCAUUGCAGAUUAUAGCAUAGAGAGAGCUUGAACAACAACUUCAAUUUCAGCUAUUACUUUGUAAGUUUGAUGGAUGAAUUUGAAUUGACCUAUUCAGAUUUUUUGUUAAAACUUAAUAAAAUGAAAACCGUUUUGUCUUUUUUUUUUUUUUUCCUUAUUAGAUCUGUGUUUACUGCAAGUUAUUAUUAUGGUUUGAAAUUAAUUACCGGCCUGAUUAUUUAAUCAUGAAGAAUGUAUGCUUCCAGUAUUAUGCUUCCAAAGAUUGAAUGAAUAUUUCCUUUACCUUAAGGUUGAUGAUGAUUCUUUAGUAAUGGUCUUUAUUUUCGUUUCACUUGAGAUUUGUAUAGUGAUUAGGUUUGCUGAUUGAAUAUUAUAUAUGAGUAUUCUGAUAUUUGGUUUGAUAUAAAUUUAUGAUUUCUAAAUGUUUUAAUUGACAGCAGUGAGAUUUCUAAAUGUUUUAGUUUGAUAUAAAUUUAUGAAUUAUUACUUGAAAUUGUGCAGCAAGUUUUCUGGCCUAAACUUUCAGAUAAAAAUAAGAGAAUACUAGAAUUGUGUAUAGUAGGUUGUGAAACUUUGCAUUUGU